rnacentral:misc_RNA from 1 species
ACCUCCAGCAUUCCGGUGCUGCGGAGCAGCUGCCCGCCAUCCCCUGACACACAGUACACAACCACGCACAUACGGCCGUCCAUACCUUGGCACUUAAGUCGGUGGAUCUAUAGAGCAAGCGCUGCACUACCUUCGAGCGCGGCUCGCCGCUGGUUUGUGCGCACACACUCACACAGGCAGCAGCGCUCGCGUUACAAUCGCCAGCAUCAUCAUCAUCACAGACGACACCCUAUCAUAGAUACACACCCGCGCACUCACAUAAGAGGGUGAGCAGACGGGAGAGGGCCUGCUCGCCACGGCGUUGGUGUGGUUCUCUCCGGAGAUGGAUCCGGUCACAAACACUUUCUUCAGCAAACCACACCCGCACCCGCACGUGCCUCUGUCCCCCUUCGUUGCGAACCAUUCGUGAAAAUACUAGAGAGGCCACCCCUUCGCCUCCUGCUUACCCUCUCCUGCAGCGCUGCCGUCCAUGUCGUCUGCUGUCACCUCCUGCUCCUCUCGCCCUCUCUCUGGGGUGCGCGUCUUCUUGCACAUCCGUCACGGCCCCGGCGACGAGGACGGAGGACGGAUGAAUCACAGCGGCAUCAGCACCGACUACGCCAUGAAGCGCAACGGAGACGGUAGCCGAGCCUCUGCCAGGGAUGUACUGCGCACCGCGCGUUUUCAUGUGCAGCAGCUGGGUGCCACGCUUGCCCUAAGUGAGGCCGCCGCGGAUUUGGUCGUCUUUCACCGCGGCAGUGCAUCCUUCUUAGAGGCUGCGCACGUGAAGUUCAAGACGGUGGUUCGUCCAGACUACCUUGCCGCAUGCGUCGCUGCCGAUCAACGCGUGAGCAUAGCCCCCUACGUCGUCAGCGUGACGGCAGCCACGUGCACCACCCCAGUGCGCAAGUCUGCUGGAACCUCCUCCUCUGCUGUCCCUUUAUCUCACACCUCGGCCGCCUCGCCGGGAGGUGCUCUUAGAGCAGCGACCGCCGCUGGCGACACUCCGCACAGUACUGGCUGGGGUGCGAAGAGCAGCAGGUCAGCUAGACGAGAUGCAGCCGCCGCCUCCUCGCAUGCAACGCGUAGCCCGCCGAAAUGCCGUGCCCAAACGAGCACACCAGCCGAAGACCCCAAAAACCCUCCCCUGCUUCACCGCUUACUUCUCCUUGACGAUGAGGAUGGCGGCAAGGCAGACCGCCAGCAGCAACAGCAGCGCAGGCUCGCAACUCUUGCAAGGGUGGUGACGGCAAGCACAGAGGGCUCAGCCGCCAUCACCGCUGCCUCCCCCUCCACUCCCUCAGCUCCCCAGGUCGCGCCCAGCACCCCCACCAACAGCGGCGCCACGAGGCCGCAUCAUCUUAUCGCUGACACUCCGAACAGCAAGGCGAAUGCCGUACGCUGCGCGUCUGGACAGCUCCAAAGUGACGGUGCAGGCGGCCAGCAAAGAAGGAGUGCGGCCCGUGCGGAGCGAGGCGCGCACCAGGAUGGCACGGCGGCGUUCGAACUCGACGAGGAUAUCACCCAGCAGCCGAGCACCGACACCGCCUCUACGCCGCGGCUCACCCCGUCUUCUCGAUACGAAGUCGGCGGUUGCGGAAUCCAAGGCGUGAGUGCCGUGACGCUGCCUAGCAGCAGCAGCAGCAGCAGCAGCAGGGGAAACAAACGCGUUGCUGCCGCAGUGGAGAGGUGGGAAGCGGAUACGGAGGAGGAGGAAGCGAUUCGCCAUGCAGUGCUGCGCUCAACGGCGACGGCCGCCGUGACGCGGCGACGGGGGCGACCGCACAAAGAAGCCGGCUCGACUCCCACGGCGGCUUCCGCGGUGUCGCUGCCAGCGGGCAGUGCGGCCGGCGACCGAAGCGCGACGGCAAAGCGCAGCCGAGACCCUUUCUUGAACUCGGAAGGCAGCUCGCAGCAUCAGCUGCUGCCACGAGCGGCGGCAGCGCCGUCCCCGAGUGAGUUGAGUGGUGUGAGCGUGGCUGUCACCGAGCCGCUUGCCGCCUCCUCUCUAACGGCCACCAUCGCUGCCGCACAGCCGCAGACGCCAUCAGCAGCCUCUGCGGCGCCUACCCGAACGACUGCAAGGCGACCUCGCCGCAGCAGCGUUGCUGGCAGCUGUGCGGAGGGGCCGGCCCAUCGCACCCGCUCAACGCCAUCUGACAAACCACAAGGUAGUCGCCAGAGACGAAGAAAGCAAGAAGAUGCGGGGCACGGUGUAGUUCAUGAAGAGGCGAGUAAGUCAUUGAAGCGAGAGCAGCAGCAGCAGCAGCAGCGCCACCUUUGCGCGCGACGACGCCGUCGCAUCUCAAGCCGAGGUAGGGCUGAGGUCCUAUCGGAUCUCGAGUGUGCUCCCCCCGCGGAGCUCCCCCUCUCCAUGACCUUCACAGACCUCGCUUUCCUCCGUCGGCUGGCCUCGGAGGACGAGAAAGCGGGAGUGACAGCGGCUGGGCUAUGCGUGCUCGUAUUCCUCGAUGGCCUCGCAGACGUCGAUGCAGCGGCGGCGACGCUUUCAUCUUUCCUGCGCGACGUCGUGGAACAGCUGGGUGCUACCUGUGUCGUCCUCGGCGGCGACGGCGACGGCGACGACGACGACGGCAGCGGAGGUUGCUCGUGCUGGUUUGGCAGACACAAACGCACUCACGCGGAACGGACGCGGCGCAUUGCGAAGAAGCCGACGCACCUCGUGGUGAGCCCACACGCCGUUCUCACGCCGGACAUUUUGUUCUGCAAGGCGUUGGGCAUCCCGAUUGUGACGCCGCAGUGGCUCUACGACGCGGUAGCGCUGGGGGCGUUUCCGGCCGUCUUGCCGCACGUCCAUGCCCACCCCGUGUACGGAGAUCGGCAGGUAGCGGACGCGGCGGUGGCGGUGGCCGCUCCGGUCACUGCUGCCGGUGUCCAUCGUCGCGAGGAGCUCCUUGGAGCCGAGGAAGACGAUGGAGAUGCGGUGGAGUCAAAGGCGGUGUGGGCUGGCUCAAAAGCGGGAACGCGGUGCCCACCGCGCUGUCGCGGGUCCUCCACGUUGCGACAGCUUCGUAAAGAGGUGGCGGAGGAGUACGUGCCGGCUGGCCAGCAGGCGAUGCGGCCGUUCUACGUGCCUAUCUUUCAAGACCGCAUGUUCUACCUCCACGUUCCCCCGGCGGACCUGGCGAAUGCCAACGCAGCCGGCGGUGACGCCGGGCCGCGACGCUCAAGUCGAGCGAGUCGCGACGGCCGCAGUGGGAACUACCUGGGCGACGCGACGGCCGCCUUGGCGCAGGUAAAGGAGCUUCUGCGCGUUCUUGGCGGUACGGUGACGCGUAAUGUGGAGAGCACUUACCUUGACCUUGUGAUCGACCUGACAGGCUUUUACGAUAACAUGGUGGAACUGGGGCUGACAGCAAGAGAGCAGCAGUCGCAGCAGCGGGCCCGCGCGCUCCGUGAGUCCCUCAGCUGUGCCUUUCAGGAAGCCCUGCAGCGCGUCUCUCUGCAGCCUGUUCCCAUGGACGCCGGUGCUGCUUCGACCGCGCCUGCCGUGUCUCCGGCGGCUCCGCCGGUUGUGGGGAUCGCGUGGCUUAUCCAUUCGAUUCUCACGCGUCAGUGGACGGCAACGGGCCCGUUUGCGCUGACUGGGCACCCUCUCACUGUGCAGAUUGCGACCGUGCACCCGCGCGCGCAGGUCGACGGCACUGUGGCCGCCAGUGCGACAGUGCCUUACGAGCCUGCGACGGGAAGUGUGGCCGUCGCAGCACCGGUAGCCGAGGAUGCUCUUGUCGCUGCGGGCGCGUCAGCUGCCAUGGACGCACUAUAUGCACACACCCCAUCAGCGCCGCCGUCUCACGAGGAGGCCGCCGAGUCACUGAGCAGUUCUGUCUGGUCAGCUGUGGUGGCAGCAGCCGCUGCUCCGCACCUCAAGCAGGCGCGAGGUCCGAAAGCCGCACUAAAGCAUGCGAGUCAUCAGCUCGGCACGCAGGACAUAGCGGCAGUGCUGAGCGACGCUCAGCUGCAGUCGCUCGGUGUGCCUGAUGCAGCCACUCCGUCCAUAUCAGGGCCUGCGCAUCCACCGCACCAGUCCGCCACGACUCCGUUCUGCAUGGAGGAGGAAGAUAGCCUUGCCUUUGCGCGCAUGCAGUACAGCGACGGCGAUUAUGAUGGCGUCGUGUGACAGGGAGAGGGAAGGAGAGAUGGACAGGAGCAGACGCACAGUUCGUGCCUGUGUGUAUGCUCCCGGCUAUGUCUCAAUCCCUGCGGCUAGAUCAUGAACACACACUGACAGGCGCAUAGACAACUCUAUACUAGCAUGGAUGCCGACAGCACGCACAGACGAACUAAACAACCUGCAGGCGCGCCUGCGUGCAGUCGCCGCCACAGUGGAGGAGGAAGCGUGUUUCUUUUCAGCUGAUCUGCCGCACGCGCCAUCAACUCCCCUGUCGCUUCCUCACUCACCUUGGGCUAUGCAAGUUCAGGCGCGUCGGCCACGUGUGUGUGGGGAGAGGGGCGUUGCGCCCACGCCCGCGCACUCUGUGCAGUCACUGAUUCCUUUUAUCACUCGCUCUCUCGAUUCAUCCAUCUCCUCCCUCCCCUCUUGCCCUCUGCUCGCGCAUACACGCACACGCGAGCGGCUCAG